AACGAACGCUGGCGGCAUGCCUAACACAUGCAAGUCGAACGAGACCUUCGUGCCUAGUGGCGCACGGGUGCGUACCGCGUGGUAAUCUGCCCUUAGGUUCGGAAUAACUCCCCGAAAGGGGUGCUAAUACAGGAUAAUGUCUUAGGACAAAAGAUUUAUCGCUUUUGGAUGGGCCCGCGUUGGAUUAGCUAGUUGGUAGGGUAAAAGCCUACCAAGGCGACGAUCCAUAGCUGGUCUGAGAGGAUGAUCAGCCACACUGGGGCUGAGACACGGCCCAGACUCCUACGGGAGGCAGCAGUGGGGAAUAUUAGACGAUGGGCGAAAGCCUGAUCCAGCAAUGCCGCGUGAGUGAUGAAGGCCUUAGUGUUGUAAAGCUCUUUUACCCGGGAUGAUAAUGACAGUACCGGGAGAAUAAGCUCCGGCUAACUCCGUG
rnacentral:rRNA from 1 species